CCAGAUAUCUAUCAAUCAUGGAUGAUUUUUGGGACUCGAUGUUUUUCAGUAGGGGCAGAGCACUCUCCCGUGCCUGCAGUUGUGCGUAUGUGUGCAUAUUCCCAGGAAGAGAGCAACGAAGAACGAGCAGGAGAUUCCUUGGCUGGGCGUCAUCGGCAGUGGCCUGGAAAACGCCACCACACAACGACACUACAGGAAACCUGUGCAGCUGGUCACCCCCAGGUCGAAUCGCCUGCCUGCGGACGAGCUGUUGCGACUGGCGGUGUGCCGAUGAAACCAUCUACCCACAGGCCAUGCAGGUUGCUUACUCGGUGCACAGUGCAGUUUCUUUUUAGGAAGAACCUGUAAACAGUAAUACCAACAUUCCAAUGAUCACCUAAUAGUACAUUAUCACACUUUUCUACUUGUCAUAAUGUAAAUCUGGGAAACUGAGUUUUAGUAUUUUUGUACGGUGACAUCUGAUGUGUUUUUGUGAACAGACCAUUCCAAUCUUGCGGCAGUUCUAAAGUGAGCGGAAUCUGCUCGGUGUUAUGCUGUUUGGAAUAAUAAUGACACACUAUUCUGCUGCAUACGGGGUGUCUCAGCUAACAUGUAAUGUGCCAUUAAAACCAAAAUUCUACAAAAUGUGCAGAAUGCUACUAAUAAAAUUCUGCAACAUUCAUCUUAAGUACAGAGAUUUUGUUCUGUUAUUCUUAAAUAAAGAACUAUGUACCUGGAGUCUACUAGCUGGAGUAGUAAAUGCAUGCAAAUACUAAAUUCUGCUCUGCAUUUGAAUACAGAUCUUCCUUUUCUGUAUAUUAAAUCAUUGUUGAAAAAAAAAAGAUAAACGAAAAUAGAGUGCAUGUUUAUUUGCUGGCAUUUGUGACAGCAGUGCUCUUGAUGGUUGUUUUGACAAGCCAACUUCACUAAACUACUAAAUCGCUGAAGCCAUGGCUACAUAAAAGUUACAAGGCAUCAGUGUAUUCAUUGGCCACUGCCAAAAAUAGUCACACUUCUUAUCAUUCUUAUAGACUGGUGCACACUGCUCUAUUUAGCAGGUAAUCGUUACACCAAUGCUUUAUCACGUUGCACUGUCGUCGAGUGAGCACUUCAGUAGAGUUGUCGGACAUGUCUUUUAGGUGUCCAGCUAUGAGGCAAACAAGUCUGUUCAUCUUGCAUUUUCAAAAAUUUUGUGCCACAACUUUUCAGUGCAGGAAAAAUAACUAGAAAAGUUAUAGUGAGUUUGAAACAACUUAAUGUGUAUGAUGUUCUGGAAUACAUAUUGCAAUUGUUUUAUUACAUGCCAUUAGGCACUGAGUAAUAAUUUUGUGAGUUAUUUUAACAAAUGGGUUAACUAAAAUGUAGAACAAGAUUUAUGUUCUCCAAAGACAUUUGAUGACAGAGCACAGUUGGUGUAGCCUUCAUAUCUUGUAUUUCAUUUUCUUAAGUAACUUGGUCCUUGAUAAAUGGAAUUCUUUGAAUAUCAACCCUCAUUACACACAAAUAUUGUGUCUGUGUGCCCAGAUGUUAAAUCUUUUUAUCUUUUCGCUCACAAUUAGUUGCCAUGUCACUGUAGCCUUGGGAGCUGUGUUAGUAGAACUAUUGAAAUUUGUUAUGUUUGGCAUUUAAACCACAUUUGCUCAUUAGGUUUUUAGGCUAUAUAACUAGUGCCACUGUGAAUGACAGUUGUGGUGUUGUAUGAGUAAGAUAUUUGCACUCGUGUACAGUGCACUUGAAAUAUUGCUCUACAAGCUAGCCAACUUCAAUCUCUUGUACAUUUUGUAUUUUUAUUUAUUUACUCAUAUUGCUUCCUGCCAUGGUGUUUUAAGGCAAUGGCAUUGCAAAGCCAUGGUUUGGCUAUAUUUUGAUGGGGGCAAGAAGGAUAAUGCUUCAUCAGAACCCCUUAUUGCUACUAUGUGGCUCAUAUUUGUAUUUUAGUUUUUGCAUGUAAAAAACUAGAAUUUAAUUUUAGGUACCUAUUAUGUUUACCUAUGUAGAACACUUUCUGAGAUAAGGUGUCCUAGAAUUUAUAGUGAAGCAUAGUGAAGUUGAACCAAGCAAAGGUUGAAAAGGGGCUAGUUGGCGCUCAAUCACUAGUAAAUAUGUUCUUUUUUUGCUUUAUGCUUCAAGUUUACUAGAGAAGUUUCACUAGUCAGUCUACGGAGGGCACAUCUCCCAUUUCUUUCUCCUACUACUUGUGUUGACCUGCUAGUGACACUGCUUAAAGCAAAAUUAAAAGGCUCAAUCAAUACUAGUAAUGUGUAUGUUUGUUAUACAGCUACUGCCAGUAGUACUGUGCCUACACUAUUGGUACAUUGCAUAACUGAUAGUGAUGUAAGUCACAUUUUUACUUGAUCAAUCAGGACCAUCAAAUGAAUAGCUUAUGUCUACGAAUUGCAAUUCUCUGGACACUGCAUGUGGAUUACAGAAGUUACUUAUAAAAAUGUAUUUUUCAAUUUCAAUUCUGCUUUAUUUUUCAAUGCACUGUCUCUUUUUUUACAUUGUUUGUAACAAAGUGUGCUUUUUGUAGUAUGUAUCUACAAAGUAUGAGCUACAGAUGCUUGACUUCAGUACUCACUUCUCAUGGCUUUUUUAUCAGUUGCCACAUCAUCAUUGGGCAGACACCUGACAACUAGUUAUGGAAUAAGUGUUCUUAUUCUAAACCAGUGAUUAAGAGUAGGAUAUUGUGGUCCAUAGAAUAAAUUGCCAUGUACUAACAUGCAACUCAAAGCAGUAGGUAUGAGACGGUGUCAUCUCCUGUGGCAUCAGAUCAAUCCUUCCCUCCAGACGCGCUCAGCGCUCCAUAUUAUUUUGCAUGUGCAAUGCCUGCGUCCAUUGUAUUGACCAGUGUAUCCAAAUGUAUUAUAAGGUCAAACAAGAGUGACUGCAUAUUUGGUCUCUGCUCCCUUGAUGCCAUGAACUUGUGUUUGUUAUCUGGAUGUUGGAUAUGUUGAGCCAUCAGUACUUCUGUGAUGGAUCUGGACUAAUGCCAGAGUUAGUAAUGCUUCACGACUAUCACUUCAAAUUACCCUCUUCAUUAGGUUCAUAAUUCUAUGGGGGGAAAUAGUAGCACUUUUUUUGAAUAAUCACUUCAACUUCUUUUUGGUGAAACCUUUCCCUCACACAAAAUUGCUAGAUAUGCCCGUAAAUGCAUAUAUGGGAUAUUAAACCAUUUGAAUUUAAUUUAACACUGUUUGUUUGUCCCGAUUGAGAUGUUGUGGAGCUUUUAUGAAAGCUUAUGUCAGACUGUUGUUUGAAUACAUUUCAACAUUUAUAAUGAAAUAAUGCCUUUGAAGUGCAUUUGUUUAGUUAGUCACAUUACAUUUAUUACAUAAGCAUGUGUAGCCGUGUGCUAGUCUCCUGUUUGAUUGAAUGAGUUACUGUAAUUUGAUUCAUGUGUUUUUAUUGCUCUCAUUUUUUUAUCAAGGAUUAUCUCAUCAAUAUAUAUUUGCAUGUUUUUAUAUAUUUAUAUUCUAUUCUAUUUACACUCCAUGUUCUACUCGCCAUGUUUAGUAGGUACAGUUAAUUUUCCAGCCAAUCAUAGCCUUUUUGCUGUGUUUCUAUAACUUCACAUUAAUAUAGAGUUUUGAUUUGCAUCAAAAUGGCUAUCUGGCAUAAAAGAAUGUGUCGAUACCUUCAAAUUUUCCUACUGCAUGAUCCUUGUCUUGCAAAUCAAAGCAUCUCACAUCCUAUGGUAACCUGUUCAAAGCAGUCAAACCUCUGCUCCCCAAAAACAGGAGCCAAUGUAAUAUUGUUUGGUGUUGCCAUAUUUCAACAAGUAUCAUACUGCCAUGAGGAAACUGAAGUUUCAUGAACCUGGACCUUGGAGGAAGAAUAGACAGGAGGGGAAACUCGGCUCCUUUUUGCGCCGCGAUAGUGUCACCCCGGGGAGAGGUGGCAGACGUCAGGACAGCGCCACCUACAGAACCGCGGCCGAACUGCUGCGCCAGAGCGGCAGGCGUGGGAAGCAUCGAGACCGCUCUUGUCGUUUGCUCGAGGGCUUGUGCUUGGUGCUUGAAUGCCGCUCUUUUGUACCAUGGAACUAUCAACAACCCAUUGAGCGGUUCGCUUUAAUUCAUCAAUGCGUCUGUUUCCCUUACAAUUUCUGUUUUCUUCAAUCAUUUAACUUCGCAUGCUAUAAGGUAAAGGCUUUACUUGCAGUAUAUUGGCAUGCAACAUGCUCUCAUUACGAUACAAAUGUCCUGUCGUGUAGCCUGCUUGCAAGCGGGAAUGACGGGGGUUGAUGCAUACUGCAAAAAAAAGUAAUUCUGAUCUGUCUAUGCUUUUCUGACAUGUGUUUUGAUUUCAAAGUUCAUGAUUUUCAUUAUUUAAUGUAGAUUGGCUACAAACAAAGAUGAAAAAUUUAUAUAACAUCACAGAUACACCAAAAUUUAUUCUAAAAGGCUCGUGAGGACCGCGUAUUCGUUCCUCUAUCAGUUUUUUCGUUUCUUCUAAGUGCGAACCACGGAGCGAGAAUGUAGUGCGGACGCACGGCGAUUUCCAAAAUACCUAGUUUUUGCAAAGCCUGGAAAGUUUUAUCUUUGAUGCUGCCGUGUGGUCCUUAUCACGCACUUCGUUCUUACUUUAGGGCAAACCUUCGUUACUUUAGGGCAAACCUUCAAGCCCCCUGCAUUCUUGCAAUCCUCUUUGUAGACAGCAACAUAGCAAGAACAGUGCACCCACUUACCAUUAACUUUCAAAAAGCGCUGUUUCAGGAGCCUGUUACGAACACACUUCACGAGGUGUGGCAUGUCGGAGAAGAUAUACACCUUUCUUGCGUCGUUCAUUGGGUGUUCAAAUGAGUUUUUCUUUGAACUGAGUUUCCCAUUUAUACCGAGUUCUGUCCACAUCCUUCUGUUUGUGCUCGCUACAUCACAAACAAUCCUGUCGACGAGCGCACCUGCCUUCUCUAAAAGUAUGAUGGCCUGCCAUUCCCAAAGCAUGUCAAUAAUAUUUCUGGCCCGCUGGGCUUCACAAAGUACUUCCACUACUAAACGACUCAAAUCGUGACCCAGAACCCAUUUUGUUGCUGUAGAUCUCUCGCUGCCCUAGUGGUACGGCAUCAAUUCUAUGGUUUUAAAUGUCAAUGUGGCAGAUGGCACUGACGCUUUCACCAUGUGCACAAAAAAAAGGCAUUCGACGCCAUCAAUGUCUAUGUAGUGUUCCAUGCAGGGUUUGGCAUUGGUAUGGGAUGUUCACUGGACAACUGCUGGAGCCAGCUUGCUGUAGAGGCAGAAGCUCCUGCCUCUAUUUUCUGCAUUGGCACAUCUUCAUUAGCAGAGGUAGUUGAAUUGUAGCUUGGCUGUGGCGGAGAGUUCAUGCGCAAUAUACUCGAAUGCUCAGACGUUAACCCCUUUCGGGCAAUGAAGCUCAUAUUGAAGUUCGUAUUUGUUUGAAGGCUAUUACUCUGGUUUCUGGUGGCUACUGAAUCUUGAUACACACUAUCCACCUUCACUCUUUUAGGGCUUCUUUUAUCAACAGUUUGAAGUACAUUACGGCUGACUUUGGGUUUUUUUGCUGGAUUCAAGUGCGGCGAAACGUCCGCGAAAAUACUAGGAACUGCCUCAGGCACCAACUUUGGCUUCUUCGGGUGCUCAAGAAUAACUGCGCCUCCAAGCUCAGCGUAGUAUUUGCGCCUGCUCACCAUUUCACUGGGGAAAUGCUUUUCGCAGACAUAUUCGCAUGUUGUGAAAUCGCAAUCCACCCGGCCAAUAGCUCUCGCCCAUUCCUGCAAACGUUCAGGGUCAGCUGGAGCUUUGAAAGUGCGAACAUUUUCAGCCAAGAAUUAUAUCCGCUGUUGCAAUUCGGGACAAAGCAUCGGCGCCCCAUGUCGAUUAUUGGCACCCUUUUAUACAGUCAACGUACAUCGCGAAUCAGCAGCGCAAUAACUGUCAAACUUACGACGUGCUGGUUCUCGAACCGAGCUCAUAUGUUGCUCUGUCUAUUCACGUCUGUUCAAGUGUGAUGAAGGAAAUGUCAUUAAAUUUCUAUCACAAACAUCAGGUGUGUAUGGCAUGCUCGGGUCACCAUUUUUUAUGGCGUAUGUUAAUAACUAGAAAAAAUGUUGCCUUUUGUUAUACCAAAAAACUUACAAAAUGCGAAGCCGCACUGCCGCAUCAUCAGAACGUCUGCUAUCUGUAGUGGGUCAGUUUGUCCCUUCAAUUCGAUACAAGAGCAUUCUAUACGAAGUGUGAAUAACAAAGAAGAUUGGCAAUAGGAUGCACUAAUCCGGCUUUACCUUUCUAACGCUAACAUUUUUAACUAAAACUUUUUGUACCACAAGGCAACGUAGCGCGAGUGGCCGGUGCAAGAUGUAGCAGACGACACUCGCAUGCGUCGGAGACUGCGGACGCGUGCGCUCUCCUGUCACGGCGAAAAAUAAAUAGUUCUGUGCGUUGCCGCAAAGAUCGCUGCGCACACGUUCACCAACCUCCUCUCUCAGGGUGACAUUUUCUCGGCGCACGCUCGCGCUGGCGCCGGCCCGUCGUUUCCCCUCCUGUCUUUCUUGCUCCGUGGCCUGGACAGUAUUGGUUACAGUGAAGUGAAUGCCUAUUUGUUUGCUGCUCAGAAUAUGCAUUUUAGAAGGAAUUACGUCAUACUUGGCAAGAAGAAGCAUAAAAAUGGCAUAUUCUGGAUGUGGGUUCUCAAUUUGACCAGCGUAUUGGCUUGGCUGGUUCCCAGCCUUCAAGCCAGUAUGAAAGUUCCAUGUGAUCAUACUGACCACUUGGUUGCGUAUUAAUAAAGGGACCAUGCGACACAAA